rnacentral:rRNA from 1 species
AUUGAACGCUGGCGGCAUGCCUUACACAUGCAAGUCGAACGGCAGCAUGAUCUAGCUUGCUAGAUUGAUGGCGAGUGGCGAACGGGUGAGUAAUACAUCGGAACGUGCCCUGUAGUGGGGGAUAACUAGUCGAAAGAUUAGCUAAUACCGCAUACGACCUGAGGGUGAAAGUGGGGGACCGCAAGGCCUCAUGCUAUAGGAGCGGCCGAUGUCUGAUUAGCUAGUUGGUGAGGUAAAGGCUCACCAAGGCGACGAUCAGUAGCUGGUCUGAGAGGACGAUCAGCCACACUGGGACUGAGACACGGCCCAGACUCCUACGGGACGCAGCAGUGGGGAAUUUUGGACAAUGGGCGAAAGCCUGAUCCAGCAAUGCCGCGUGUGUGAAGAAGGCCUUCGGGUUGUAAAGCACUUUUGUCCGGAAAGAAAUGGCUCUGGUUAAUACCUGGGGUCGAUGACGGUACCGGAAGAAUAAGGACCGGCUAACUACGUG